rnacentral:rRNA from 1 species
GUGGAUUAGAUACCCUGGUAGUCCACGCCGUAAACUAUGCACACAAGAUGUAGUGGGGUUUUACUCCUGCUGUGUCGAAGCUAACGCAAUUAGUGUGCCGCCUGGGGAGUACGGUCGCAAGACUAAAACUCAAAGGAAUUGACGGGGGCCCGCACAAGCGGUGGAUUAUGUGGUUUAAUUCGAAGCAACGCGCAGAACCUUACCUAGGCUUGACAUCCCUUGACAUCCGUAGAAAUACGGCUUUGUAGCAAUACACAAGGAGACAGGUGCUGCACGGUUGUCGACAGCU